AACGCACCUUGCGCCCUCUGGUAUUCCGGAGGGCAUGCCUGUCUGAGUGUCAUGACAACCUCAUCCCCACCGGGUCUUCCUGUGUGGGGUUGGAUCUGGGCGUCUGCCGUCCUUAACAAACGGCUCGCCUCAAAAGUCUCAGUGGGACCGACCCUUUGUGUCGACGUGUUAAGUCUUCGUCGUCUUCUGGGCCUGGGCUCGCUCACAACCCGCCUUCACCGGCAAUACACUCUUUGACUUUGACCUCAGAUCAGGUAGGACUACCCGCUGAACUUAA
rnacentral:misc_RNA from 1 species